GUAGUCUGAACAAAUGUGCAUCAAAACGUUAGAAUGACUUUUUCUGGAUGGUGAAAUAACCGGUGAUUUUCGUUUUCUUUUCUCUUGAUAUAUUUUUGUCCUUUUUCAAUUUUUGUCCAAUGGAAUUGCUUAUAUAUUUAAUUCUUACUGCUUACAAACACAGUAGUUCACAAACCAAUAAGUUAUAUCUCUUUUGGACUCAGAAUCCCUUGCUCCUUUAACUUUGUCUCUUGUUGUUUUCCCCCAGGUUUGCUAUAUGUCUUUCUGUUUUAAAUAAUAAAACAGAGGAGGAGGGUACAUGACACAUGAGACCAAGUCAUCUAACAUCUGGGGAAUUAGCCAUUUCCAGCCCCAGAUUUUGGCUCUCCCCACUCAUCCCAACGCCCACUCUCUCCUUUUGUGUCAAUAUGUUGGGGACUGACAUGUUCCUCAACAGGUCUUCCAUUUUAGUUUCUCCCUCUACAAUUGCUCUUGAGCACUUCUAGCACUAAUUUGCUCACUCACUCAUUCAUUCAUUCACUCAUCAUAAAUCAUGCAUGAAUCAGAAAAACCGAAUAAGCAUGUGGUUUAGAGUUGAGGGCUGGGGUCUGAAUCUGAACCUGCCCGAGGUAUACCAGGAUCAUGUGAAAAGCAUUUGAACAACUGUAAAGACUGGACCAGUGGGAACUGUCAUCACUCAGGCCCUGUGCUGACCCCUCUGGGGGAAAUGAAGGGGAGCGUCUGUCCUCAAGAAGCUUAGAAUUGUCUGAGAGAGUCCGGGUGUAAAUGCAAAGGGGAGGGGAGAGCAAGUAGGGAUGCAGAGAUAAUGUCCAUAGACAUGGCAAUGAAUGACUGGAUUCUGCAGAGCAGGAAGAAGCAUGAGUCAAGAAUCACCAUGGGGCUUGGGGAUGGCGUGACUGAGAAAAUAGUGUGCCAUUAAUGUAUUUAUCAAUCCAUCUACUCAUUCAUUCCACAAAUACACGCUGAGCAUCUGACAGCAGCCUGAUACUGUCAUAGCUGCUAGAAAUGAAACAGCAAAGAAAACAGAUAACAAUCCCCCAACCACCCCAUUCUGCUUAUAUUCCAUGAACAGCAGAGAAAGAGGAAGAAAACAAGUACAUAAACAAGAUCAUUUCCAAAGGUGAUAAGUGUUAUGAAGAAAAUAAUACUUGGUAGUGUGUCAAAGAGCAACCAGGGGAGGUGACAUUUGUUCUUGUGUGUCAUCGGCUGAAAUAGAAUUUGGGGUCUGGACUGAGGAGGGAGAUGGUGAAUUUCAUGGUGGGGCUGCUGACUCAGAGAUGCUAAGAUUCGCCUCCUGGUGAAAAUGUUUUACCUCUUAUUCAACUCUGCAUUGUAUUAUCCUCUGGCUCAGAAACUCAGUGGGUUCCGACUGUCCUCUGGAUAAAAUUCUAAUUCUUUAGCUUGACAUUCAAGGGCCUUCACAAUCUCCCCCAGCCUGCCUGUCUGCCUGCCCACAUCCUCUCGUAAACCUUGCAUUUGGCCUCGAUGGGCUCUUCACUAUCUCCACUUAGGCUGGGUCCCUUUGUAGCUCCAUACUUGGAUCCUGGCAGUCUCCCAAGUUCUCUAUGCCACAGCUAUCCUGCUCUUCUUGGGGAUCUGGCCUUUUCUCUGCCUCCCUGCUCUCUGAGAUUGUUAAAUGUCUCAUAAACGAAGACCCUCCUCUCCUGUGAGAAUGCAGUCUCCUUAAGAGAGGGGCUGGCCCCUUCAUGACCCUCUCUCCAUUGGAUUUGCUGUGUACAUCUGCUCAGAAGCACAUUAAGCAGCUUUACAGAUCAAUUAUCUUCUUGUAUAAAAUAAGAAAAGACAGAAUGAGAAGAGUCCAGAAAACCAAAGAGUUUCCCGCCCAAAUUCACAGAGCCAGGAGAUGACAGAAUUUGGCCAUGGUCAAGGGUUCAGAAACAAUCAACAAAGAAGUGAUUCAGUUUGCUAGUGGAAUCAGAAGUUGGAAUUGUGUAUCUAGGGAUGGACCUGCUCUGUGUUGCAUUUUCUGAGCCAGAGAGCUCUGGGAUUCUUCCCAUCCUUUGAGGGGCAGUUCACACAAGGGGCAGAAUCUGGACUCAGGUCCAGAGGAAUCCAUAGCUCCUCUCUCCAAGGAAAUCAAUCCUGAAUAUUCAUUGGAAGGACUGAUGCUGUAGCAGAAGUUCCAAUAAUUUGGUCACCUGAUGCGAACAGCCGACUCAUUAGAAAAGCCCCUGAUGCUGGGAAAGAUUGAAGGCAGGAGAAGAAAGGGGCGACAGAGGACGAGAUGGUUGGAUGGCAUCACUAACUCAAUGGACAUGUGUUUGAGCAAGCUCCGGGAGAUGGUGAAGGACGGGGAAGCUUGGCGUGCUGCAGUCCAUGGGGUCGCAGAGUCAGACACAGCUGAUCCACUGAACAAUAGCAACCAAGGCUUCCUUCCUCAGUUUCCUUGGCUUCAUCCUAAUUUCCUCCUUUUAAGCUGUGGGGGAAUGGAGCAGUCAGUUUACCCAUCUGAAAUGCAGGAUCAUGGGGGAUGAGCUGCCCCUGCGCUUCCUACCUCCCCUUCAGCAUCAUUUGAUACUGAUGCUCACCUUCUCUGCUUUGAGGCUGUGACGUCAGGGCGAUGGAAGGUUAGGAGAGAGACACAUGAUUGUCAUGACGGAUGUUUGGGAUGAAAGUCAAUACCAUAAACAGAUUCAUCGUGACACUCCUUCUGGUGCAUCUUUCAUCUAGGGAGUCUCAAAGCCCUGGACAAAUGAAAUUGCUAUUGCACGUCCCGGCAUGCAUCCGCACACUCAUUUUACAUGGCUGAGGUCAUACAGUAUGAAUAAUUUAGCCUUAUCUGCACUUCACAUGAACAUAUGAGAAAACAGCUCUGCAGCAUAAAGGAAUAUUCCUGGGUCACAUAGUGAGUGGCAGAGCCUGGACCUCAGAGCUUUCGAUCCCCACGCCAGUGUCCUUUCUACUUCGUUCAUCCAUUCAUCCAUUCAUUCAUCCAACUGUGAGAACUGAGCUGACCUCCAGGUACUGUGCUGGGCUCUGAUGAUACAAACAAACAGGACAGGGAACAGUGCGAGGAGAGCUGUGUACUUGCUUUGAGUCCUAAAACCUAAGGGAAGGGUGGAGUGCCAAAAAGAUAAUAUUUUAAUGCAAUGUUUUUAAAAACUCACAUGCUAAACUAUGGCCCAUAGGCCUGCAGUUUAUUUUUGUGAAUCAAGUUUUGUUAAGAUUAAAUCUCAGCCUCUGUUUUGAGGAGCCCACAGUUUGAUCAGAGGAGAGAAGCCCACAUGGAAUAUUUAUUUAAUUCUCUGUGAGUGUCCUCAGGAAGCCAGCCAGGGGGUGCGGGGGAGAGUCGGGCAGCGAAGGAAAUGUGCAGAGGUACGGCUGUAUGAGAGCUGGGGUCAUGGAGGGGAAGGACAGCAGAGUUCUCUGGUGCAGGAGAGACAGGGUGAGGAGGCAGGGGAAGGAGUGGUGGGUGAGCAAAUCGCAGAGAUAAGGGAGAGGAGAGAGCAGUGCAGGGUGCACUGGGCUGAGAAGAGUCCUCAAAGGAUCCGGGGCUGGUGAACUACCCUCCGGCCGACACGAGAACAGGAGAAUAAGACCCAAGCCAGAGUGGGCAGCAUGCGUGGGUGCUAAGUUGCUUCAGUGGUGUCUGACUCUGUGCGAACCCAUGGACUGCAGCCUGCCAGGCUCCUUUGUCCAUGGAAUUCUCCAGGCAAGAAUACUGGAGUGGGUUGCCAUGCCCUGUACCAGAGGACCUUCCCAAGCCCGGGAUCGUACCCAUGUCUCUCAUGUCUAACCUGCAUUGGCAGGCAGGUUCUUUACUACUAGUGCCUCCUGGGAAACCCAGAGGGGUCAGAUCUUCCCUCAGAAAUACGUUCACAACACAAUGAAUAUAUUUGGCCAGUUGUCCCUGGAUGUGCCUAGGGUAUCUGCCCCCCUCUAUUCUGUGUCCCCCACCCUGGGACUCUCCCAAGGGCGGAAGAUGCCCACAAGCUGAAGCUGCCUCAGCAGAGCUGCUCAGAGCCAAGGAACGCCUUGGAAGAAAAGGAACUUCCAAGGAAUUCUUCUCGUUUGCUGAGAAUAUUAUAAAUGCACACCUAAAGAUAUUCUAUGUGGGAACCUCCCUGGGGGUCCACUGGUUAUGAUUUCAUCUUCCAGUGCAGAGGGUGUGGGUUCCACCCCUGGUCUGGGAGCUGAGAUCCCACAUGCUUUGCAGCCAAAAAACCAAAACAAAAAACAGAAGCAGUUUUGUAACAAAUUCAAUAAAGACUUUAAAAAUGGUCCACAUCAUAAAAACCAAAAUCGUAAAAGAUAUUCCAUGUGAAUCACUCAGAAGAGAGUCUGGCAUAAAAUAAAUACUAAAAAAAAAUGAUGGCUAUUACUUUAUGUUUACGAUAAGAGUAUUUUAAAUAGUUUUUUAAAGUUAUAAUUUGUAAGACCCAUGUUUGAAGGACGUUGUCCUUCAUAUGCUUGUCCUUCCACAUAUGUUUACAUUGGUUGUUGAUGAUUGCAAGAUGAAUCUGCUAAAUCAGACUGUCAGCUAAUAGUUGGGAGGGCAGGGUUGUUUGGGAGGGAGUAGAAUCCUGGGGAAGAUUUAAUCAAAGACGACUUCCUGGAGGGAGUGCUGGGCGAAGAGUUUUAAAGGAAUUGAUGAGAAGAUGGAUGGAAGCAUGCUAAGUGACAUGGUAUCUGAAAGAUGGAACAAUUUUGCCUACCUUCUCUGAGACUUAAUUGAUAUCAUAUACAUUAAAUGGGUGGCAUGUAACAGGAACCCAGUUAGUGGCAGAUGAUGAAGAAGGAGGGAUGCAGGGGGCAGGGGGCGAGAGAGAAAGAGGGAAAGGGGCCAAGAAGCAGGAGACCUCAGUUCCAGACAUAGGUGUGCCUCUGGUUAGCAAUGUAAGACUUUGGAAACAUCACUACCUUCUUAACACCUCAGAUUUCUUUUCUUCAAAAUGGAUUAUUCAGGUUAAGAUGUCCACCUCUGGGAGUCCUUGAUUAUAAUAAAUACAAAAUUAUAACAGCUAUUGUUUAUUACUGCCUACAAUAUACCAAUCACCUUUUUAAAUGAUAAACAUAACAUCUUAUUUGAUUUUCACAACAAGGCUGUUCAGUUCAGUCACUUAGUCGUGUCCAACUCUUUGUGACCCCGUGGACUACAGCACGCCAGGCCUCCCUGUCCAUCACCAGCUCCCGGAGUUUACUCAAACUCACGUCCAUUGAGUGGGUGAUGCCAUUCAACCUUCUCAUCCUCAGUUGUCCCCUUCUCCUCCUGCCUUCAAUCUUUCCCAGCGUCAGGGUCUUUUCAAAUGAGUCAGUUCUGCACAUCAGGUGGCCAAAGUAUUGGAGUUUCAGCUUCAGCAUCAGUCCUUCCAAUGAAUAUUCAGGACUGAUUUCCUUUAGAAUGGUCUGGUUGGAUUUCCUUGCAGUCCCAGGACAAAGCUGUUAGUGGUAACAAGUAACAAAGCUUAGUGGACUUCAUUAUUAUUCCCAUUAUUUGUUAAGGAAAUAGAGGCUCAGAGAAGUCAAGUAACCUGUACCAAUGGUAGCUUUAGUAAAUAGGGUCUCUGACUCCAGGAAGGCAGAGAGAUGCUGUCUCCUGGGAGCCAUCCCCUCUACAGAGAAACUUUUCCCCACAUGGCUGGGAUUGGUGUUGGCUGGCUCACUGGAGGCAACAAUGCUACAGGAAGGAGUCUGCUGUCCUCCCGGGUUUCACCACCCAGUUUCUGUGGCAGCCCUGGCCCAUACCUUGAACAUCCCCCUACCCACCCACACCGCCCACCUCAGCAUAGUGACUUUUCCCCAAAGCUGUGUCACUCCCAACAGAUGAGACUCAGGAAAAAGCUCCCUGGUUGAAUCACAGUGACCACUUCCUGUUUCAUUCAGGGUCCCCUGUGCUCCGGAGCCCUCUCUCUGCCAUGCCCUGUUUAGUAAUAAGAGUCAUGGUAUGUAUGACCCCCACCACCACUCCCCACUGCUAGGGAGACUUAGUCACCCUUUCCUAUGCCCUUAGCCUACCAGGCUGAGGGGCGCAAGCUCUCAGCUUCCGCCCUGUUCCACACCCCGGCUACAGAGAGCCCAAUGGGACCCUGGUUGUCCUGGGGCUGGGUAAGGAGGCAAACCAGGACCCCAUCCCUCCAGACGGGUGAUGUAAGACUGAUGGGGACAGGUGGGCGGACGUUCAAGCCUCAGCCAUGAAGCAAGGAGUAGUCACUGACCCCGUGGGCACCUCGUGGGCACCCACUCAAGGCAUACUGCUGUCUCUAAGCCCAGGGGUCAGGACUCUGUGUGGAAAGAUAAACACAGAUGGGGUUGUGUGUCUCGGGGGAAACCCCAGUCCUCUCCCAGUUGCUCAGAACAGGCAUCCUGGAGGUUGACAAACUGCAAGGAAGAUUGAGUGUGAGAGAGGAAGAAGUCAUCAGAUAUUUGAGAGGGUGUCUGGUGGGGGACACUUCCUCUGGGUAGAGGAAUCCAGGAACAUUGUUUAAGAUCUUUUGAAGUCUUAAGCCUCUAAAGGUAUUUCUUGCCCACCCUCCCCCCAAAGGUAAUACAAAAUUAAGCAUCUAAUUCCUAAAAACAAGUAUAAUGAAGUCCAAUAAAGUUCUGAGUUUUCUCAUGAACCACCUUAGUGCUUUUUUUCCCUUCUCUUUUUAAUAAUAGUUAUCACAUAUCAGUGUCCCUUGAAAUUGUUUUUAUGCUUUCAGAUGCCCCCACUUUGCUGUUCCAAUAGCCCUGAUGGUCGGCCUGUUGGAUAAUCCUGCCCUGGGAACAGAGGAUGGGUGUCCCUGGGCCACAUGUGUCGUCAAGUAGAGGGGAGGGCUUUCUCACCAUGUGUGUUGUAUGACCACUGAGUGGGCCGCCCAGGAAAGGAGCGCCUGGUCCUUUGUGUGUUCACACCCCGACGAGGUCAGAAGUCCCCAUGACUAGGAUGGGUGGUGUGGGAGAGGGAGUCUGGAAAGGGUACUCUAAGGUCCCUCCCAGUCCAGUGAUGCUAGGGUGGGAAUUCCAAGCACCUUGGAAAGAAAGCAUUCAUGAGACUUGUUUCAGGCUAGUGGUCAACCCAGCUGUGGGUUGGCCUCUGGGGUCCUACUGGGGACUUUGAGGAGAAGAAUUUCUCUUCCCACAAGGAAGACAAGCUGAGACUUGCCUUGGAAGCUUUGGGACCAACCCUGCAGGAGCACCUGGAAAACCAACCACUGCCGCCAGAUGGCACUGGUGGGGGGUGUGCCAGGACCAAAUAGGCGGGACUACGGGGCAUCUGGGCCACCAAUCCAAGCUCUCUGUGUUUAAUGUAGGCAAAUGCUGCCCCAAGUCCUUCUGAUUCAUAAGAUCUCCUUGAAAGUCACAGCUGCUUUAUUGGGUCCUUGUAUGCCUGGCACCAAGGCUUCCCUGGUGGCUCAGACAGUAAAGAAUCUGCAAUGGGGGAGACCCAGCUUCAAUCUCUGGGUCAGGAAAGUCCCCUGGAGAAGAGCAUGGCAACCCACUCCAGUAUUCUUGCCUGGAGAAUCUCAUGGACAGAGGAGCCUAGCAGGCAGCAGUCCAUAGGGUGGCAAAGAGUCGGACACAACUGAACAACUUUCACUUUCACUACAUGCCUGGUACCAGCUUCCAGUUAAAUUAAUUGAAUGACUAGAGUCAGGAGAAAUGGGGUGGCAUAUUUCUUUUAGGCUGUACAUAAAUGCACAUUCUACAGACAAUAGCCUUCUGAUUGUUUAGUGACUUUGCAAAGGAUACACAGAAAACUUGUCAUGGCAUUUGCCCCUGGAAUGGGAGACCAAGGGGUGAGGUCUGGGGGUGGGAGGGAGACUCUUGGUCACUUAAUAUUAUUUUUAUCAUGUGCAAUUAUUAGUUACAUAAACUAACAUAGAAACACUUGCUUAAAAAUUUUCCAAAGUGCUUUCAGCAACUACGGCAGGUGGUUUAAGAGGUGGAAAGACAUAUUGAAUGUUGUAGGUGUGCGACCCUCCCUAGAAGGGGCGCUCGACCUUUUACUCAACUUUAUUGACUUUCAAUUUAUAAUUUUCACAACACUGAAAUGUUUCUUGUCCAGGAUAGAGCUCAUUAAACCCAUCGAGUUAAAAGUGGGUUUGUGGUGAGGGCAGGCUACUUUCCCCAAGAGAGAAGUCUGAACAAGGGUACCUCAAUCAACAGCCACCAAAAUGACCAGGAGUUACUGGCAAAAGAUUACAUUGUAGUAAAAAAAAGUUGGGGGGCCACACCCCAUGGCAUGUGGGGCCUUAGUUCCCCAACCAGUAAUGGAACCUACCCCCUGCAGUGGAAGCACUGAGUCUUAACUGCUGAACCGCCAGGUAAGUCCCUGUAGUCUCUGUUUAAAGUGAGUCAUAAUACUUUCUUGUUAAAAUCAGUUAUUCCAGACAAGCUGUGCCUUGAGAGUAAACUGGUGAACCCAGGUAAAUUCUAAAUUCUCAGAAGGCUUCCUUAAAGUCUACAGAGUUUAUUUCACUGCACCAAGAAGAUUUUCACUGACAUCGUCCAUGAAAAAGGGGAUUUCCACCUCAAGGACCAAUGCUGGCCAUAGAGCCCUUCCUUGACCUCCAGCUUACUCCAAGGUGAAAAUCUGCAUUUUCUUCUAUCAUCUGUGUAGAUAAGCACUGGACACCUUGACCUUGGAGAAUUGCUCAAACUCUCUGGGACGCAAUUGCACAACAUCCAAUUUUAGAAAUUAAAAUUCCUACCCUACAUUCUGUGUUCUGAUUGUGAUGCUAUCAGCAUGGAUCUAAAUGUUUUUAAAAUGCAUAGAACUGUAUACUAGCAGAAUCUACUGUACAAUAAUUUUAAACCAAACAAGAAAACUUAAUUCUAUGCUUUAAGUAAGAAACUCCUUAUAUGGCAUUCUUUUUACCUGUUUAUUCCUGGCAAGGUCUACUUGUUAUUUGUCGAAUGAAUAAAUACUGGAAAGAGCAGAAUACUGAUGGCAGGCAGGCACUCAAUAGUUUGUUCCCGCCACCUUCCCUUUAGUCAUUUCAGAUAACAGGACACAGUGCAGGUCUCCAGAAAAUACUAAUGCCUUGAUCGUUUCUCAGUCACUUGGGCAAUGUUUGACCCAACAGGAGAGGAAAGGCAGCUGCUGGCACAGAGAGUGACCUGGGUGGUUCCUUGUGGCCAUGGAUACAUUCUGUAUCAACAAAAUGACUUCUUCCUACCAAGCACGUGGCAGAAUAGAAUAGAAUUAAAAAUAAAAUCAAUUUAGGCACAUCCCUUUCCUUGAUCUACUUACAUGAUGGAAACUGAGCAUUUAUCUCAAUGCCCCGGGUUAACAUAUACUGGGGAGUUGCCCAGUUAAGAACUUCACUUACUUUAUGUGGUUUCAACCUCACAACAUCUUCCGAGGAGUGACUAGUAUUAUUAAGUGAGGAAGUGAGAGCUCAGACACAAAGAUAAAUGUCCAAAGAUGCGCAGCUACUACGGGGUCCAGCCUGAGUUCCAACGGAGGCUUGUUUGUCUCUUAAUUCAGGCUCUUACCCACAUGCCAUACUGCCUCCAGCAGUUCCAGACAGCCUUUGGAAUGAGAACAUCCUGUGUCCCUACAGAAUCGAAACAAGCCUAAGGUAGGCGUGGGGUGAGUUCCUUGAUGUGUGGGCCCCUCUUCCUAUGGAUUUCAAAGGCUCACUUCAGUGAAGUUCUGUUAAAGUCAAAAGGUGACAUCCUUCCACAGACAGUUGGCCAAGUCUGAGUCCAGCUCUGGCACCUCAACGGCUGGUUAUUAAGGCAACUCUGGAUCACUCUGUGGUUCUAUAGCUAUCCCUUCUUUUUCUUUCUUGUUUUUCCACCUUUUCAAGAGAAUACUUGAGAGAUGGCAGCUCUAAGUGGCCCACUUGUUACUGAUUGAAGGAGAUGCUGACUUGAAAUAAAAACAGUUCCCAGGACCUUCAAGGCCUCAAAUAGAAAGAGCUGUAUUCUUUACACACUUUCAUUGCAGAAGCUGAUUCACAGCUGUACCCAGAGCCUUACAAGGUGCCAGGAACAAGGUGGUACUCAGCAAAUGUUGAAGGAACUAAUAAUGAAAAGUGAAAGUGAAAGUUGCUCAGUCGUGUUCAACUCUUUGCAACCCCAUGGACUACAUAGUCCAUGGAGUUCUCUGGGCCAGAAUACUGGAGUGGUAGCCUUUCCCUUCACCAUGGGAUCUUCCAAACCCAGGGAUCGAACCCAGGCCUCCUACAUUGCAGGCAGAUUCUUCACCAGCUGAGCCACAACAGAAGCCCAUUUAUGAAAAGAAUUUCCUAAAGAAGUCAGCUAGAAAACUGGGAUAGAGAGAUGGGCUAAGAGUUGUAGCGACGAUUGGAAUAAAAGUACAGGAGUGUAUGUGCAUGUACCCCAGAGCAACGGUUCAGCAACCCCUGUGAUGAGGGGAGACACCACCGUGUCUGUCCACUUCUCCUCCAUAUCUUGUGAACUAGAGCUGUCAGUGUAGACACUUCCUGCCCACCCAGGCUUCUGACCUGAGGAAUGAAUCAACCUCUCUCUCUCUAAAAUACACUAAAAUACACUAUGUGUACAUUAAAAUACACAUAGUGUAGAACAACAUACAGCAUCUUCCAAUCUGUCCCUUUAGCCUUGAGUUGUUCCAUUUUUACGUACUAUCUUGGGAUUUGGGCUUCCGUGGUAGCUCAGCUGGUAAAGAAUCCACCUGCAAUGCAGGAGACCCUGGUUCAAUUCCUGGGUCUGGAGGUUCCCCUGGAGAAGGGAUAGGCUACCCACUCCAGCAUUCUUGGGCUUCCCUGGUGGCCCAGAUGGUAAAGAAUCUGCCUGCAAUGUGGGAGACCUGGGUUCAAUCCCUGGGUUGGGAAGAUCCUUAGAGGAGGGCAUGGCAACUCACUCCAGUAUUCUUGCCUGGAGAAUCCCCAUGGACUGAGGAGCCUGGAGGGUUACAGUCGACGGGGUCACAAAGAGUCAGACAUGGCUGAGCAACUAAGCACAUACACACACAUCUUGGGUUUCAGCUGUGAAUACAAAGACACUGGGCUUCAAACUCUUCAUUGAGUCUUACUGUGGUACAGUAGAGUAUUGGUACCAAUAAAUGUUCACCCAGUAAUUGAUCUUGCUCUGCUUUAUUUUUUUGCUAUACUUCAUUCUUGUAGUUUAAGAGCAAGUUUGGCUUUUUGACACACCCAACAAUUAUAUGUGAAAUGCCAGGCUGGAUGAAGCACAAGCUGGAAUCAAGAUUGCUGGGAGAGAUCCCAAUAACCUCAGAUAUGCAGAUGACACCAACUUUAUGGCAGAAAGCUAAAAAGAACUAAAGAGCCUCUUGAUGAAAGUGAAAGAGGAGAGUGAAAAAGUUGGCUUAAAACUCAACAUUCGAAAAACUAAGAUCAUGGCAUCUGGUUGCAUCACUUCAUGGCUAAUAGAUGGGGAAACAAUGGAAACUUUAUUUUCUUGGGCUCCAAAAUCACUGCAGAUGGUAACUGCAGCCAUGAAAUUAAAAGAUGCUUGCUCCUUGUAAGAAAAGCUAUGACUAACCUAGACAGCAUAUUAAAAAGCAGAGACAUUACUUUGCCAACAAAGGUCCAUCUAUUCAAAGCUAUGGUUUUUCCAGCAGUCAUGUAUGGAUGCAAGAAUUGGACUAUAAAGAAAGCUGAGCACUGAAGAAUUGAUGCUUUUGAAGUGUGGUAUUGGAGAAGACCCUUGAGAGUCCCUUGGACUGCAAGGAGAUCCAACUAGUCAAUCCUAAAGGAAAUAGGUCCUGAAUAUUCAUUGGAAGGACUGAUACUGAAGUUGAAGCGCCAGUACUUUGGCCACCUGAUGCGAAGAACUGACUCCUUAGAAAAGACCCUGACGCUAGGCAAGAUUGAAGGCAGAAGGAGAAGGGGACGACUGAGGAUGAGAUGGUUGGAUGGCAUCACCGAUUCGAUGGAGAUGAGUUUGAGUAAGCUUUGGGAGUUGGUGAUGGACAGGGAAGCCUGGCUGUGCUGCAGUCUAUGGGGUUUCAGAGUCGGACUCGACAGAGGCACAGAACUGAACUGAACAACUAUAAGUACUUCUUGACUGCCCUCUAGUGGUAAUGGUGAAGAAGUGAAACUCAGAACAAUGAACAUCUUUCCUGCUAGAAAAAAGUGGCCCUUCUUUUCCUUAAUUCACAGGACUUCACAUUACUCAAAACUGUAAUCAAUCCUACACACCACCCAAUGUGUAAAAGUGAUAAACAACAAGGAUUUAGAUAAGCACAGGGAACUAUAUUAAAUAUAUUGUAUAACCUAUAAUGGAAAAGAAUCUGAAAAAAAAACAUGUAUAUAUUUAUAACUGACCAAUCCCUGGAUCGGGAAGAUCCUCCGGAGUAGGAGAUGGCAACCUGCUCCAUGUUCUUGUCUGGAAAAUUUCAUGGACAGAGGAGUCUGGCAAGCUAUAGUUCUGACUGAGCAACAAAGCGCAUAACUUAAUGACUUUGCUGUACGUCUGAAACUAACUCAAUAUUGUAAAUCACCAAUACUUCAGCAAAAAAAUAAUAGUGGGAUGAAUGAUUCUGACUCGGCCAAAGUCCUGCAUCUUGAUGACAUCAGUAGUAAUCAAAUCAAAGAUGAGCUCAUGGACUGACAUACUCCAAUCAGAGUGGACCCCAGAAUGUUUUCUGGAAAUGCUAGGAUAAAGAUGCUCACUAUUUUUCACUGAAUUUCAGCAUAGAAGGAUGCUACUCCAGGAGCUGAUGACUUCAUCUUUCACACUUAAGAAGGGAACUGCCAAGAAUGGAGACAACGUCAAGGCAACACAGCUGAGAAAUGUAAAGAGAAACUAAAUUUUGGAAAUAUGGUUUGGGCCCUGAGUCAAGUCAUAUCUGAAGCUGAUGUCUUUGAAUUGCUUGAUUUACAAGAGCCAAUAAAUACUUCUCCAUGCUUAAGCCAAAAGAAAAACAAAAUUGUGAUCUAUCCAAAGUUAGUAGUUUAUCCUCAUGUUAUAUAUGAAUCUGAUGCGUAGAAUGGUGCUUCUCAAACUAAAUGUGGUGAAGGGCCAGUUUUCAUGUUUUCUUGAUCUGUUGUGAAUCAUUCCAUUUGUAAAAUUCAAUAAAAAUGAAUUACAGAAUAAAUUACAUUAAAAACCAAAGACAUACAAAAUAAAAACCUAAUUGUUAUUAUCAGAUUCAACAGACAAUAUUACAUUUCAAUAAACAUAAUCAGAACAAACAUAACAUAGGGAAAAAGUAAAAUAUUUGCAAAAUCUGUAUGUGUUGUUCAUUGAAUGUACAUGUUAUGAGAGAUGAAUAGAGAGAACUACUUUUAUACUAAUAAUUUUUUGUCAUUCUUCAGGCAUAACUAAACAAAAAUUGUAAGUAAAAUAUAAUAUUAUUUUACUUAUAAAAUUAUAAUUAAAAUAUAAAUGAAUACUAUUCAUAUCAAUAUUGUUUUUAGUGGACCAAUAUGCUUAUAAGGGCUUGUUAAGUUUAGAUAAAGCAGGCAGAAUGGAAUAUAAUGCUACUUACAAGGUACAAUGACUAUUGAAACUGUUUUUAUGUUUUGUUUUAAUAAAAGCUCUAGUGGAGAGACCAGUAUUACAGAGGUUUGUUAACAAGAAUAGAAGAAGAAAUUUUAAAGCCAUUCCAGGAAGCUCAAGAUUUUCAUCUUUCACUUUUAUCGAAAAUAAAACAAGUGAUUCUGAUGUUCAAAAUCCACAAUCCAUUGGCAUUUCCACCAAUUUAUUCUUUAAGUUUAUAAAGUUGAAAAGUUACCUUUCAAGGAAAGCAAUGGUUUCUGGAUCUGUAAAUUUCCCAUGCAUGGAUCUUCUUUUGAUGGAUAUAAAAUGUAAACAGUUUUGUCAAGUUUGUAAGGCAUUUGGCCAUAACACUUCCCACAUGUGCAAUAUCAAGAUCAUCACCUACUUUACUGAUAAUUGUUGUUAAAUUAAGGAGCAUGUUAUAUAGCCUGUGGAAACCCUCUUUUUCCAAGCUUCUCACUUUCAUUUUUGCUGUUCGAUCCUACCUGCCAUUUUAAUCAUAUCACAGUCUUUCCUUGCUUAGAAGUAGAAAGAUCAUCAACAAUGCCCAAAAUAUCACACAAAUAAACAAAUCUGUCAUCCAAACCACAUUUUUAAAAGGCAGAGACCUUAUGAAAGUGUUUUUCACUUUCAAGGAACACUGCAAAUUUGUUUCACAUUAAGACAUUGCUAAUAGAACGUUCCACUUCAGUCACCGCUUCAGUCAGCUUGGAAUCUCAUGUCUCCUACCAUAUGCAACAAUAGGUGUUUGCCUGUUAUCACAUAAUAAAGAGAAAAUCUCAAACCUAAUACAGUGGUUUUUGCAUAAUUCACAAUUUUUUACUGUGUAACUUAACACUGUUUAGUUCAGGUAAAAUUUUUUCAGUGCGAAGCUAUCUUGAUGAAGGAAGCUGUAUGUUGAUUUAUAUGCUCAUGCAAGCUCUUUAAUUUGGGUAAUGACUUCAGAAUGUUUUUCUGUCAACGCAGCUGCACCAUUAGAACAUAUUCCUAUACUAAAUUUAAACCACAUUCCUUAAGAGUGUAAUCCUUCACAGUUUUAUGUGGUUCAGAUUUAGUUGUGUUUGUCAUCAAUGAAGCUGAAAAAAAUUCUUCCUCGUAUCUCUACUGUGUUCAAAUUGCAUAUGCAUGCAUGCUAAGUUGCUUCAGUUGUGUCUGACUCUUUGUGACCUAUGAACUGUGGCCCACAAGGCUCCUCUGUCUAAGAGAUUCUCCAGGCAAGAUUACUGGAGUGGAUUGCCAUUCCUUCCUCCAGGAGAUCUUCACCUAGGGAUUAAACCCUAGUCUUUUGCAUUGACAGGUAUGUUCUUUACUACUGGUGCCACCUGGGAAGCCCCAAAUUGCAUAUACAUAUUUCAAAUUAAUUAUCAUGUUAGCAGUAUGUGUACAUUCAACAAUUUGAAAUGAAGAAAAAACAAAAAUACCUUGCUACCUGUAUUUUUGUGUGUGAGUUAAUCUGUCACUGUCUUGAGCUAGUUGUUGAAUUUGUCCAACUAUGAAGAAUGAUAUUUGAUCUACCUACUUAGACACAAUUCACCCAGAAUUUCCAAGAUUCUUGAGAGUUUUGCACUAUUUUUUAAAUCUUAGCAUCCCGAAGUGCUACUUUAUUAGGCACAAGGAACAAUGCUUAUAUGGGAAAUUUUCAACCUCCACGUCUAUCAACUUUUAAAAAUUCAAUAAUCUUUCAGAGUGCUCUUUAAGUUUUGAACUUAAUCUUUUGUCUUCUUUGUAAAUGCUACCUAAAUUUGAUGUUUAUUUAUUUACACAAUUUUUACAGGCUACACUUCACUUAUAUUAUUACAAAACACUGGCUACAUUCCCCAUGUUGUACAAUAUAGCUUGUAGCCUAUUUUGCACCCUGUACCUUCUACUACCCCACCUUUAUAUUGCCCUUUCCUCAUUUCCUCAACAGUAAACACUAGUUUGUUCUCUUUAUUUGUGAAUCUGUUUCCUUUUUAUUACAUUCACUAGUUUGUUGUAUUUUUUAGAUCUCACACAUAAGUCAUAUCAUGCAUUGUCUUUGUCUAACGUUUCACUUAGUAUGUUGUGUGUGUCGUGUGUGUGUGUGUGUUUAGUUGUUAAGUCCUGACUCUUCUGAGACCCUAUGGACCAUAGCCUGCCAGGCUCCUCUGUCCAUGGGAUUUCCCAGGCAAGCACACUGGAGUGGUUUGCAGUUUCCUCCUCCAGGGGAUUUUGCCAACCAAACCUACAUCUUUGGUACUGGCAGGCAAUAAUGCCCUCAAAGUCCCUGAAUAUUGCGGCAUAUGGCAAAGUUUCAUUCUUUUUUACGGCUGAGUAGUAUUCCAUUGUGUAUGUGUGUGUACCCACAUAUACAUACAUAUAAACACACCACAUCUUUAGCUGUUCAUUUGUUGUUGGACACUUAGGUUGCUUAUAAUGAUGCUAUGUACAUUGUAGUGCACAUGUAUUUUUGAUUUGGUGUUUUUGGUGGGAUUUUUUUACAUACAUCUAUAUAGCCCGGAGUGGACCUUCUGGGUCAUACAGUAGUUCCAAUUUUAGUAUUUUGAGAUACCUUCAUACUUUCUUCCACAGUGGCUGCACCAAUUUACAUCCCCACCGAACAGUGUUGGAGGGUUCCCUUUUCUCUGCAUCCUUGCCAACAUUUGUUCUUUGUGCUCUUUUUGAUGAUAGCCAUUCUGACAGGUGUGAUGUGGUUUUUGAUUCACAUUUCCCUGAUGAUUUAAUGAUGUUGAGUAUCUUUUCAUGUCCUUGUUAGCCACCUGCAUUUCUUCUCUGGAAAAAUGUCUAUUCAGUUCUUCUGCCCAGUUUUUAAUAAAGUUGUUUAUGUUUUGAUAUUGCAUUGCAAGAGCUGUUUACAUAUGUUGGAUAAUAAUUCCUUAUUUGUCAAACCAUUUGCAAAUAUUUUCUCCCAUUCAGUAUGCUGUCUUUUUGUUUUGUUGAUGGUUUCCUAUGCUGUGCAAAAACUUUUAAGUUUAUUUAGGUCCUAUUUGUUUAUUUUUGCUUUUUUUUCCCUUUAUGAGACAGAUCAAAAAAAGAAAAAAACUUUCCUCAAAUCUACUUCCCAAUCUUCCCACCCAAUCUGUAACCCCAGGCAACUACUAAUCUAUUUGAUGUGUCUAUGAAUUUGUCUGUUUUGGAAAUUUCAUAUAAAUGGAAUCAUACAAUAUGUGCUCUUUUGUGACUAGAUUCUUUCACUUAGCUUAUGUUUGAAAGAUUCACCUUUUUUUUUUUUUCCUUUGGCUGCAUUGCAUGAGUUCCCUGCAGGGCUUGAAUCCAGGCCACAGCAGUGAAAGCCCAGAAUCCUAACCACUAGGCCACCAGGGAACUCCCUUGGUACUCUUAAGUGUAUGCGUCAGUACAGUCUUCAGCGUGUAUCAGUAUUACUCUUUAUUGCUGAAACAUACUUUAUUGUAUGGAUUGAGCACAUUUUACCCAUCUGUCAGUUGAUGGACAUUUAUUUCUACCUUUUAGCUGUUAAGAAUAAUGCUGCUAUGGACAUUCAUAUACACAUUUUUGUGUGGAAGUUUUCUUUACUCUUGCAUAUAUACCUAGAAAUGAAAUUGUGAGUCAUGUGGUAAUUAUAUAUCUAACUUUUCGAGGAACAAAGUGGCUGCAUCAUUUGACAUUCCCAGCAGCAGUAAGACAGUUCCAAUUUCUCCAUAUCCAAGCUAACACCUGUCAUUGUCUGUCUUUUUUAUUUUAGCUAUCCUAGUGCACAUGAAGUGGUAGCUGACUGUAGCUAAUGAUGGUGAGCAUCUUUUUAUAAGUUUACUGACCACUUGGGAAAGCUUGUAUUCAAAUCUUUUACCCAUUUUUAAACCAAGUUGUCUUUUUAUUGUUAUUGUAAGAGUUCUUAUAUAUUUCAGAAACAAGUCCCUUUUCAAAUAUAUCAAUAAAAUUCACAAAUAUUUUCUUCUUGUUUUAUUUCUUUAGAUGCAUAAAAGUUUUUUAAUUUUAUUUAUUUAUUUUCAGCUGUGCUGAGUCUUUGUUGCUGUGCAUAGCUUUUCGCUUUUUUCUCCAGUUGCAGAGGGCGGUGGUGGCCGGGGAUUGGGGAAAGUCGCUACUCUUCCUUGCAGUACAAGGGCUUCUCAUUGUGGUGGCUUCUUUUGUUGAGAAGCACGGGCCCUAGAGUGCUCAGGUUUCAGUAGCUAUGGCUUGCAGGCUCUAGAAUACAGGCUCAGUAGUUGUGGCAUAUGGGCUUAAUUGCUCCACGACAUGUGGGAUCUUCCCAGACCAGGGAUGGAACUGGUGUCCUGCACUGGCAGACAGAUUCUUAACCACUGGACCAUCAGGGAAAUCCCUGCACAAAUGUUUUGAUAGAGUAUAAAUUAUGUUUCUUUCAUCACAUGUGCUUUUAGUGUCAUGUUUAAGAAACCAUUGCCAAAUCUAUAGUCACAAAGGUUUACUCCUAUAUUAUCAUCUAAGAUUUUCUAUUUUUAGCCCUUACAUUUAAGAAGUCUAUGGCUACAGCUAAGACCACGUUGUUCCUAGGAGUGAAACAGGCAGCCAGUUGUGGUAGAGGUUCAUUUACAUACCACAUUAGAUUAGGCUUGGGUGAGUGGAGGCUGAUGUCAGUCACACAGCAGAAAAAUCACAACCCCUCAUCCAAUUUCUAGACUUUGGCCAGAUCCCACACCACAGCCCAUAAGUUGAAUAGAAGGCUGGGUCCUGAGCAAGGCAUAUUCCUCCUGCAAGUAUAUUCAGUAUAUUUAUUCCUCCAAUCUGACCCUGAAACCUAUCAGAGUAACUGACCCAUGGGAGAAAGGAAGCAGUCAGAUUUUUGAGCAUUACUGAACCCAGGCAGGACCCUGGGGGCCCUGCCAUAUAUCAAAAGCCUUUCUGUGUCGACCAUUUCUUGUUUGUAGGAAAAAGGCUUCAGCCUCCUAGACUUUCCCUGAAUUCCAAAGGGCAUAUUCAAAGUUACUAACUAGGGGAGUGAGGGAAUGUAGAAAGAAAUUAAAAGGAGGCAAGAGCCAAUAGAGCAGUGACGGGAAGGGGUCCCGGUUCUUUCUCAAGGUCCACACACUACAAUCUGAUAGACAUCUCUUGAGUUCUUCUACAGGCACUAAGUCCCCCAAGCAGGUCAAGAACGCUAACUGAAGGCUGAGCACACGCAUGUGGACCCCAGACUGGCUGGAACAAGAGGACUGAUCAUUGAAAUUCCUGGAAUACCACCCUGUUACUGUACCAGAAGGUCACACACCUCUGUAGCCCUUCCUCCAAAAUUUGCCUAUAAAAACUCUUCCCAGAAAACCAUUGGGUAGUUUGAGCUUUUUGA